rfam:Dipodomys ordii contig_49379, whole genome shotgun sequence.
GGUGGCUCAGAGGUAGAGUGCUUGCCUUGCAUGCAUGAGGCCCUGGGUUUGAUUCCUCAGUACCA